CUGGAAUUUCUUUUGUAAAGUGCUUUGAAAAUUUAUGAAACUACCCAAAGGAGGAGGAGGACCAAUCCAGUUUGGAAAGUAGUUCAGUCCCCGCAACAACCUACAAACGUGGAAUGUGGGUUUUAUGUAAUGCGGUAUAUGAAAGACCUCAUUAGAGAUCAAAGUAUCCUAAGAAAACAAAAUUUCAAUGGAAAAAAGACUUACACGGAAACCGAACUUGAU